GAUGAACGCUGGCGGCGUGCCUAAUACAUGCAAGUCGAGCGAACAGAUGAGGAGCUUGCUCCUCUGACGUUAGCGGCGGACGGGUGAGUAACACGUGGAUAACCUACCUAUAAGACUGGGAUAACUUCGGGAAACCGGAGCUAAUACCGGAUAAUAUAUUGAACCGCAUGGUUCAAUAGUGAAAGACGGUUUUGCUGUCACUUAUAGAUGGAUCCGCGCCGCAUUAGCUAGUUGGUAAGGUAACGGCUUACCAAGGCAACGAUGCGUAGCCGACCUGAGAGGCUGAUCGGCCACACUGGAACUGAGACACGGUCCAGACUCCUACGGGAGGCAGCAGUAGGGAAUCUUCCGCAAUGGGCGAAAGCCUGACGGAGCAACGCCGCGUGAGUGAUGAAGGUCUUCGGAUCGUAAAACUCUGUUAUUAGGGAAGAACAAAUGUGUAAGUAACUAUGCACGUCUUGACGGUACCUAAUCAGAAAGCCACGGCUAACUACGUG
rnacentral:rRNA from 1 species